CACUGUUUUGAAUGAAUUUCAGGAUGUUUUGACAGAUUUACCUGGUAGGACUGACCUUAUUCAGCAUGAGGUUCAUCUAACUACGAAGGAACCAAUCAGGAACAGACCAUAUCAGAUUCCGUAUGCAGUUAGGAGUGCAGUUCGAGCGGAAAUUCAGAAUAUGAUCGAUAUGGACAUUAUUGAACCAUCAGAGUCACCUUACGCUAGUUCGAUUGUCGUUGCGAAGAAGUCCGAUGGUAGCAAGAGAAUCUGCGUGGAUUUUCGUAACUUGAAUAAGAAACUUUUGAAGAACAUAUUGCAGAACUUAAAAAGGUGUUGGAUAGACUACGGAAGGCGAAGUUGACUGCCAAGCCAUCGAAAUGUGAGAUAGCGCAGACAAGACUACAGUAUUUAGGCCAUAUUGUUGGAGGUGGGACGAUACAACCAUCCAACGAGAAACUGGAAGCAAUCGAAGAAGCACCUAGACCAGAAACGAAGAAGCAGUCCAAUUCUCAGAUUACCAGAUUUGACGAAACCAUUUAUCUUGAGAACAGACGCAUCUAACCAUGGAAUUGGCGCAGUGUUAAUGCAGGAGCAUGACGUACGCAAAUAUCCUGUUGCAUAUGCAAGCCGGAAACUGCUAGACAGAGAACAGCGUUAUUCGGUAGUUGAGAAAGAGUGUCUCGCCAUUGUAUGGGCUUUAAAGAAAUUCCAUCCAUAUUUAUAUGGUAGAUUAUUUGUUCUAGAGACUGACCAUAGACCAUUGUUACAUUUACAGAAGAUUAAGGCAUCCAACGGUAGAUUGAUGAGAUGGUCUCUUUUUCUACAGGCGUUCAAUUUCAGAACAGAAGUUAU